GGCCCAAGCAAUCCUUCCACCCCAGCCUCCUGAGGAGCUGAGACCACAGUUCUUUUAUGCAUGGACAACCGUGCUGAUGAUGCAUUCAGUUUAGGAGAAUUUUCCAAUUGAAAAAGUGCUCUGGAGAAGUUUAAGUGCCAUGAAUCACCCAAACCUCAUCUAAGUCUCGUGAAGGCAAAGGCUGUGAAAGGCAGUCACAGAGAGAAGACAUAUUGUAGUUGUGCUGCCUGAUUCAACUAAAUAGAAAAAUAUUUUGUAAAGACA
rnacentral:lncRNA from 10 species